AAGUCGUAACAAGGUCUCCGUAGGUGAACCUGCGGAGGGAUCAUUACAAGUGACCCCGGUCUAACCACCGGGAUGUUCAUAACCCUCUGUUGUCCGACUCUGUUGCCUCCGGGGCGACCCUGCCUUCGGGCGGGGGCUCCGGGUGGACACUUCAAACUCUUGCGUAACUUUGCAGUCUGAGUAAACUUAAUUAAUAAAUUAAAACUUUUAACAACGGAUCUCUUGGUUCUG
rnacentral:misc_RNA from 1 species